CCCUGGGUUGUGCAAACAGUUAACACGUUUGGCUGUUAACCAAAAGGCUGGAGGUUCGAAUCCACCCAAAGGCC
rfam:Loxodonta africana unplaced genomic scaffold scaffold_4, whole genome shotgun sequence.